rnacentral:rRNA from 1 species
GAUGAACGCUGGCGGCGUGCCUAAUACAUGCAAGUCGAGCGAACGGACGAGAAGCUUGCUUUUCUGAUGUUAGCAGCGGACGGGUGAGUAACACGUGGAUAACCUACCUAUAAGACUGGGAUAACUUCGGGAAACCGGAGCUAAUACCGGAUAAUAUUUUGAACCGCAUGGUUCAAAAGUGAAAGACGGUCUUGCUGUCACUUAUAGAUGGAUCCGCGCUGCAUUAGCUAGUUGGUAAGGUAACGGCUUACCAAGGCAACGAUGCAUAGCCGACCUGAGAGGGUGAUCGGCCACACUGGAACUGAGACACGGUCCAGACUCCUACGGGAGGCAGCAGUAGGGAAUCUUCCGCAAUGGGCGAAAGCCUGACGGAGCAACGCCGCGUGAGUGAUGAAGGUCUUCGGAUCGUAAAACUCUGUUAUUAGGGAAGAACAUAUGUGUAGGUAACUGUGCACAUCUUGACGGUACCUAAUCAGAAAGCCACGGCUAACUACGUG